rnacentral:tRNA from 2 species
GGAGACGUGGCCGAGAGGCUGAAGGCGCUCGUUUGCUAAACGAGUGUACGCUCAAAAGGUGUACCGAGGGUUCGAAUCCCUCCGUCUCCGCCA